rnacentral:misc_RNA from 1 species
AUAUAUAUCAACCUCUUCUUUGUUGAAGUGUUUUGGAUGUGGGGGGGUUUGCUGGCCCAUCUUAAAGGGUCAGCUCCCCUGAAAUGCAUUAGCAGAACAACCUGUUCAUUGGUGUGAUAAACUAUCUACGCUAUUGAACGGCGAAGGCAGUUCAGCUUCCUAACAGUCCUUGGACAAAUCUAUCAUUU